rnacentral:lncRNA from 1 species
AAAAUACAUGAGCUAUCUGCUCUCUUUGCAGACAAACCCCUGAGGCUCCUGGCUGACAUCUCAUUGCUCAUUCUCGUUAGGCUGCCAUGUAACCGUGCAGAGCAAGUGGAGGACUUGGCAGCGAGCUGCCCUCGCAGACCUCCUGGAAGCACCAUGCUGCUGGGGCUGCCUGAGCACACUUAGCAGUGAUCUAGGGCCUGUAACACAAGGGCUGAUGCUGUUCCUGCAGGAGGGUACUUUCAAGUUGUGAUUUGGUACGUGCUUGUUCCUAUACCACUGUUAGGAUGAUGAUCUGCAGAGAUUGGUGUUCCCCUCGAGAAGCCGGUCAUUUUACUCUGCCCUGCAUUGGAGUGGUCAGCUGAAAGAGAUGUAUAUGGGCUGCGUGUGCCGUGCGGAAAGCUUGUAAGGCAAUGGAUCCUGGCACAGCUCAGCCAGGUGCCUCACAGCAGCAUCAGGAGGGAAGAGAUAAAGAGUGCCAUACCGACCAGAAGGUGGGGUGGAAAUCAUCACCUUGCCAUCUCUGAACACCUCGCUGUGAGGCAGCCUUGCCUGGCCUAUGAGCUCUAGGGUUGCAGUCCUCCUGUGAACGUCCUCCGAGGGGACUAGGGACCAGGAAGCCCAACAAAACUGGGAAAGAGACAACUUGGCCACUGGGGUGCUUUGUCAGCUUUUUCUACCCUGUGCCAGGUCCC